UGUGUCCUCCUAUGUUAAACAACGAAGACCCUCUAUGAAGAGGAAGACUGUCCGUCUCGCUAGUAACCAUCACCAGAUGGCUCAUAUAGCACCUGCUUUCAGAGAAAAUCAACAUUAUCAGCAUCAGAACCAGCAACAGCAACAUCAACAGUAUCAGCAGCAAUAGCAUCGUCCGCAUUAGCAGGCCUACCAGCCUCGAAACAACAAUCAAACCAGCAUUAGCUAUGAUAGGAAGAGGGUCACUUUUG
rnacentral:lncRNA from 1 species